UAGGGAAUCUUCCGCAAUGGGCGAAAGCUUGACGGAGCAACGCCGCGGGAGUGAUGAAGGUCUUCGGAUCGUAAAACUCUGUUAUUAGGGAAGAACAAAUGUGUAAGUAACUAUGCACGUCUUGACGGUACCUAAUCAGAAAGCCACGGCUAACUACGUGCCAGCAGCCGCGGUAAUACGUAGGUGGCAAGCGUUAUCCGGAAUUAUUGGGCGUAAAGCGCGCGUAGGCGGUUUUUUAAGUCUGAUGUGAAAGCCCACGGCUCAACCGUGGAGGGUCAUUGGAAACUGGAAAACUUGAGUGCAGAAGAGGAAAGUGGAAUUCCAUGUGUAGCGGUGAAAUGCGCAGAGAUAUGGAGGAACACCAGUGGCGAAGGCGACUUUCUGGUCUGUAACUGACGCUGAUGUGCGAAAGCGUGGGGAUCAAACAGG
rnacentral:rRNA from 1 species